AGUGGCGAACGGGUGAGUAACGCGUGGGAACCUACCCAGCAGUUGGGGAUAACCGCGGGAAACUGCGGCUAAUACCGAAUACGUCCUGAGGGAGAAAGAUUUAUCGCUGUUGGAGGGGCCCGCGUCGGAUUAGCUAGUUGGUGAGGUAAUGGCUCACCAAGGCAUCGAUCCGUAGCUGGUCUGAGAGGAUGAUCAGCCACACUGGGACUUAGACACGGCCCAGACUCCUACGGGAGGCAGCAGUGGGGAAUAUUGGACAAUGGGGGCAACCCUGAUCCAGCAAUGCCGCGUGAGUGAUGAAGGCCUUAGGGUUGUAAAGCUCUUUUACCGGGGACGAUGAUGACGGUACCCGGAGAAUAAGCCCCGGCUAACUUCGUGCCAGCAGCCGCGGUAAUACGAAGGGGGCGAGCGUUGUUCGGAGUUACUGGGCGUAAAGGGCGCGUAGGCGGCGCUCCAAGUUAGGCGUGAAAGCCCCGGGCUCAACCUGGGAAUAGCGCUUAAGACUGGAGUGCUCGAGUGCGGGAGAGGUGAGUGGAAUUCCCAGUGUAGAGGUGAAAUUCGUAGAUAUUGGGAAGAACACCAGUGGCGAAGGCGGCUCACUGGCCCGCAACUGACGC
rnacentral:rRNA from 1 species